rnacentral:rRNA from 1 species
UGGUGGGUUGCCUUGUCAGGUUGAUUCCGGUAACGAACGAGACCUCAGCCUGCUAAAUAGUCACGGUUGGCUCGCCAGCCGGCGGACUUCUUAGAGGGACUAUUGGCGACUAGCCAAUGGAAGCAUGAGGCAAUAACA